rnacentral:tmRNA from 2 species
GGGGACGCGUGGUUUCGACAGAGGACCCCCCUGCCGGGAUUGCAAGCCGAGGUGCCACCUCCCUCGAUAAACUGAUGGCAAAAAAAUUAACUGGCGAUAAAGAAUACGCCUUAGCCGCCUAGUGCGGCUCGUCCUGUCAGAACUCUCCUCGCGGAUCUGAUAAGGGCGCCAACUAGCGGGGUGCCAAUUCGUCGCUCGCCAAUGCAGCGAAUUGAAAGAUUAUUGGCUAGUCUCACGAAGGAUUUGCCGGUGAUGAACUCGGGAGACGAAAAACACACUAGCCGGAUAAGCUUGUAGUAUAUCUUCGCAAGGCAUCUUUUGGACGGGGAGUUCGACUCUCCCCCGUCUCCACCA